GAACCCAAGGCGGAAUGAGACAACUAGAGGCUAGAAUCUACCAAUAAAAAUUUCUUUUUCUUCAACUCUCUUUAUUGUUUUUAUUAUUUUCGUAAUCACAAAUUCAAUCAAUUUUAGAUUCUGUUUUUUAUUUUUUCCAAAUUAAAUCUUUAAUUCUAUUAUUUUUUUUAUUUUUUUCUGUCACGUAGGUUUUCUUGGGCACGAUUUUGCCCAAGAUUUUGAAAAACAAGCAUUCAUAUAAUUUGAUCCUUGAGGAUUCGACCCUACUUCCCCUUUACUGUUCUUUUUCAUUAUUUUACAAAGAAUAGGAUUUUUUUGUGCUCUCAACGACCGUAUCAAUAUUUGAGUAGCAAAGGGUCUUCUUCGAGAUGGACUUUGUUGGAGAGUUGGAAGAGGAAAUGAGAUCUCUAUAUGGAAUGAUUGUUGGAUUCCAGGGAUUGAAGCAGUUGGUCGACAAAACAAAGAAGAAAAUGAUGAACUCCAAUUAGUCUCGGAUCUAAUUGAUAGCACAAAUAAAACAUGGAAAAUGGAGUUAGUCAGCAAUACCUUCCAAACGAAAAUUGACCAAAGGAUCUUGUAGAUCCUUCUUGUAGAAGCUAACCAUGAAGAUUUUCAAGUGUGGAAAGAACUUUCCGGAGAAUACUCAGUACGGAGCGCCUAUAAACUAUUACAAUAUGCUAGCUUGGAUCCUAAUAGUUACUUAAUACAGACCAAAAUCAAAGACUUCUAUAGAAAACUAUGGAAUUUAUAACUACCAUAAAAAUUUACAUUAACAAUAUGGCGGAUCUCCUGGAACUAUAUACCUACACUAGUCAACCUUAGACACAAGCGAGUGACCACUAACGUCAGAUGUCCUCGUUAUUGCUCCGGAGAAGAGGAUAGCCACCAUGUCUUUAGACAAUGCCCUGCAAUCUUUGAAGUAUGGCAAAACCUUAAUCUCUCUUGGGUCACAACUCUUAUGAAUCAAAAUAUCUGGGAGUCGCUUACAUGGGUUUUUGCAAAGAGUACUAAAGAACAGUGCUGGACUUUUUGCUGCUCCUUAUGGUUCAUUUAGAGCUCACCGAAUCAGUAUGUUCAUGAAAGAAAAACCAUUUCAAUUAGGGAUCUGUCACAAAAAAUCAGAGGAUACAUAGCAGAACUCGAAGGGAUAUGAGAAAAAAAGCUUACCUUUAAUACUGAAAGAGUUCAUAACCAAAUAGGGGCGAAAACAGGUACAACGAUAUAGUUUGAUACAGCCUUCGACAAAAGAAAUUCUAGAUCUACUUCGUGUUUAGUGGUUCGGGACCAAAUGUGUGAGUUAAAAGCCUCAAAGACGACUCUCCAUUAUAGAAUCUCAUCCCUGUUUGUAGCAGAAGCUCGUGCAACAUUAAAUGCUAUCAAGUUAGUAUUAUCAAUGGGUUUAACUUUAGCAACAAUAAUGGGAGACUCGAAAACAAUCAUCAAAAAAUGUCAAUCGACAAAAGUAGACAAAUUAGUACUUUGAGCUAUUAUUAGAGAUAUUCAAAGUAAAAGAACUAGUCUUCAAGAGAUCACUUUCUAGUUUAUCCACAAAUCGGAGAAUGCUCAUGCCCAUAAACUAGCAAAAGAAGCACUAGAAAAAAGGGAAGAAUCAUACCUGGUGGGGGAAGCGCUGAACCACAGAGAUCUAGUUCUGGAAGGAAGAUGGAGAAGAAAUCCAGAUUGAAAUCGUUUUGUGGUGGAGAAAUGGAGUAGUCAAAGAUAGCAGGUACACGAAAAAUUUUUUGGGGAAGAGCUAUCUAUGAACAGACGCGACUAUUGACAUGAAAAGACGAUAUGAUUAAUGGUGGCCAGGUUGUUCCAUUUGACUGGGAAAUAUCAAUAGGUUUCCUUUUAUUAAUUAUUUCUUUUUUGUAUUCAUUAUUCUGUUUCUACUUUUAUUUAUUUCAGUAACGAGCUAAUUACAAAAGAUAAAUUGUAUCCCCAUUUCCGUUUAUUUGUUUGUCC
rnacentral:lncRNA from 1 species